AAGAGGAAGAGACAGAAUAUCAGAUUAACACCAGAGAAAGACAUCACUAUGGUGGAUCCUCUGGGAAGAAGCCUCAACAACAUCCUGAUGCUGACGAGGAAGAGAAGAGUCUCUCCAGAUCAGAACACAAGAUGGACAACGCUAGCCCUUCCUCCCUCCCGGAGUCCCUGUAUCGUGCCUCUCCUGGUAGCACCUUACUGCUGGGUAUGAAGAGGUUGUCUGUGCUGCUGGUGGACUGCAGGAAAACAACGGGGCUGAGUGGAACCGUGAGAGGAGGAGAAGAGAAGAAAGGAUCAGAUUUGACACAUCAAAGUAAGUGCUGUAAUUUAGUUUGAACAAAUUAAAUAGAUCUGGUAUCUGUUACCAGGACAACCAGCAGAGUUCUGUUAAUUGACAUGAAGAUGGACUGGUAUCUGUUACCAGGACAACCAGCAGAGUUCUGUUAGUUGACAGGAAGAUAGACUGGUGUAUAUGGAUGUUAUGAAUAUCAUAACACUGAAAAAGGAUUCUGCCAAUGAAAAGAGAGAAACCAAUAGACCAUAUAAAACCUUGAUGAAAGUUAGCUUUGGAGAGAAAGUUUCAAGAUGAUCCAAUGUAAGGUGCUUUUUUUACAAAAACUUUUCCUUAAAACAUUAUGGAUGUUACAUUGCCUGUCCCAGUCAACGCCCCUAUCUUUACAAGACUGUAGAACAGGCAAACUAAACUCAAGACUUUGGUAAUUAAUUAACUAGUACUGAAGAAAAGCUGUGAUCAGGCUGCCCACUCAAACGAAAGCUUCAAACUGUAACCAGUGCUGGCGACCUGGUUCAGGUUAUCAAUCAACCUACCAGGGUAGUGACAAACAGUAGAGGAAUGAAAUCAUCAACAUGGUUUGAUCAUAUCUUUACUAAUGCUGCAGAAAUGGGUUUUAAAGCAGUAUCCAGAUCCAUCAGAUGUAGUGAUCACAAUAUAGUAGCCAUGUCUAGGAAAACCACCGUUCCAAAGGCUGGGACUAAUAUUGUGUAUAAGAGGUCAUACAAUUUUAUGUAGUGAUUCCUAUGUUGUUGAUGUAAAUAAUAUUUGUUGGUCUGUGGUGUGUAAUGAUGAGCAACCAGACGCUGCCCUUGACACAUUUGAAGCUGCUUAUCCCAGUUACUAAUAAGCAGCACCCAUUAAGAAAAUGACUGUAAAAACUGUUAAAUACACGUGGAUUGAUGAGGAAUUAAAAAAUGGUAUUAUGAAGAGGGAGGCAAAAGAGAUGGCAAAUAGGUCUGGCUGAAUAACUGAUUGGCAAAUGUAUUGCAAAUUGAGACAUCAUUUGACUAAACUGAAUAAAAAGAAGAAACUACACAAUGAACCAAAGAUAAAUGACAUGAAGAAUGAAACUUAUUGCUCAAUGAAAGUCUAUAUCUAACAGAAGUGGGUGAAACGAACUUACCACCCUAACAACCAAACAAUGAACAGGUGAAAACAAUUAGACAAAACCAAACGAAAAAGGAUCGGUGGCAGCUAGUAGACCGGCGACGACAACCGCCGAGCGGCACCCGAACGGGGAGGGGAGCCACCUUCGGUAAUAUUCGUGACACCUAUUGCAAAUUGAGAAAUAAUGUGACUAAACUCAAUAUAAAGAAUAAACUACACUAUGAAACAAAGAUAAAUGACAUGAAGAAGGAUAGUAAAAAUCUUUGGAGCAUCUUCAAUGAAAUUUUGCGCAAAUAAAAUCAACAAUGACAAGUCACUGGUGUCUGACAACGUGGAUGGAAAAUUGAGGAUAAUAGCAGCCGAUAUUGCCAUUCCUAUUUGCCUUGUCUUUAAUUUAAGCCUACUAGAAAGUGUGUGCCCUCAGGCCUGGAGGGAAGCUAAAGUCAUUCCACUACCCAAGAAUAGUAAAGCUCCCUUUACUGGCUUAAAUAGCCGACCAAUCAGCCUUAAAUAGCCGACCAAUCAGCCUGUUACCAACCAUUACAAUUUUGGAAAAAAUAUAUUUGACCUGAUACAAAGUAAACAAAUAUAGAC